CCGCGAAUAAUUCAACAAAGAUGAAACUUUCACAAAUUUUAAAUCUAUUGUAUAAUUAAAAACCAAGGACAAGAAGCCUCCGUGUUCGUCCACAUAGCUAAAAAUAUAUAUAUGGUCUUGAUCCUAAUUUAUACCGUUGUGAUUCAACCAUCUAAAAGUUAGAUGUAAUGAUGCCACAUACGUUUAUUCCUAUAUUUGGAAAUACUAGCUCCGUUUCAUUAUACAUGGCCUACGCUCAUCCCUAGGUCGAUGAUUCAACCAAUGUAACAUGAGUUUUAUAUGACAAAAAUCAUAUCAUUAGAAACCUCAGGUGUUCUAUUUUCUAAUGGUACAUAUAUAUUAAUUUUUGUGAUCUACAAUUUACAUUAUAUUGGUCAAAUUAGCGACAUAGGGAUAUGUGUACGGAAACGGUAGUAACAGAGAACACGUGAUAAAUGGAGAUGUAGAACUAUAGGCAGGGAGAUCUAGAGUUUCAUAAGAAAUCAAAUUGGGACGUGCAUGCACCGUGUUCUCUAAUCAGAGAUUUAGAACUAUACAUAGGUAGGGAGAUCUGGAGUUUCAUAAGGAAUCAAAUUGGAACGUGCAUGCACCUUGUUCUCUAUGCAUGCACACGUCUUGCGUCAGGUUGCAUAAGUAGCAGGCUACCAUCUGACCAAAUUUCAUUGGUACUCGUACAUGCAUUCUGGCUGCGCGCAGCUCUAUUAAUAUUUUGAACAGUAUAUAUAUAUAUAUAGACACACACACACACACACACACACACACACACACACACACACACACACACACACACACACACACGUUCGUCUAUAUGCUACUCACACCUAAAGAUAGAAAAAACAAAAAGAUAAAUAAACAAGAUAUUUCGAUAGUAGUACGUAUAUAUGUAACCAUGGGUCCAACUCAGCCACCUUAGAAGAGCAUCCAUUAGAAAUUUCAAGACAUAUAGAAUCAAAUACUACUUCAGUGAAACCAUGAGAAAUUAACAAAAAAAUAUUAAACCACGUCAUGUGAUCUAUUUUUGUUUUACAAAACGGUGCGCUAUAUAGAACAAUCCAAUGAUGUCACACAUGCCACAAUGAUGCAAGCAAGGGGUUGAUGUAAUACCAAUCAUUCAGUUGUAGGCAUAGCGACGAAUCAAGCACACACAAAAUAGAAAUCCUGAUUAUUAAAACAAGAGGAAAAAAACAUAUCCAUUUUUGUUUUGCAAAACGGUGCCCUAUAUAGAACAAUCGACAACAUCGCAUAGGGCCACAAUGAUGCGAGCAAGGGGUUGAUGCAAUGACAUUCACACAAUACAAAAGCAGACACUCGCAACACACGCAUACACGAACGAACACACGAAUACCCUGCUCAUGUGAGCACCUCUGAGAGACCGAGCCAGCAGAUCUUGAGAGAUUGAUGAAGUCACCACACGCAUCUCGCUAUUGACGGGUACGUCACGUGCCACUAAAAAAAUAGUGGCAGUUAAAUCCUGAAAUCUGUGCACACUAAACUUGAACAUUGGUGAGACCACAUGAAAAUGAUGUGGACGGUUUAGCCUGCUGACUGAAACCUAUUAUACUUGUUCUAAACCUGGAUAGAGGUAGUUCUAUCUUUGUUUUGGUAACACUGAUUACAAUGUAGAUGCUUGCACACCUAGGCGCACACAAGCGGAAGACUGGUGUCGCGGAGACUUUGAGAUCGAUGAAGUUAUAUAUGGCUCUUUUCUCAUAAACAUUGAACAAUGUAUACGUGCACACGCAUACUCGAGACUAGAGUCGCGGGGUUUCUUAGAAACAUUUAUUUACUUUUUUUUAACGGUUUUGCUAUUGAUAAAUCACCUGUUUUUAAUUAAAAAUCAAUUGACAUGUUAACCAUCGGAUCUUGAUCCAAAGAUAGCGGGUG
rnacentral:lncRNA from 1 species